rnacentral:rRNA from 1 species
UACGUAGGUGGCAAGCGUUGUUCGGAAUUACUGGGCGUAAAGCGCGCGUAGGCGGCUCUUCAAGUCAGGCGUGAAAGCCCCGGGCUUAACUCGGGAACUGCGCUUGAUACUGUCGAGCUAGAGUGUGGAAGGGGCGAUUGGAAUUCCGUGUGUAGCGGUGAAAUGCGUAGAUAUACGGAGGAACACCAGAGGCGAAGGCGGAUCGCUGGGCCAACACUGACGCUGAUGUGCGAAAGCUAGGGGAGCAAACGGC